rnacentral:tRNA from 1 species
CGGGGAGUGGCCCAGCUUGGUAGGGCGCCGCGUUCGGGACGCGGAGGUCGGGGGUUCGAAUCCCCCCUCCCCGACCA